rnacentral:misc_RNA from 1 species
ACAGUGUUACUUAUGGUCUCAAUGACUACCGAUUACUGGGAGUACAGAAGCUUUAACCAAACUAUGCUGAAACAAACCCUCCACAAGGCAAACCAAACAGAAUUCAUCGAGCCCUUGGACACGAAUUCCUACGUGUCUCUUUGGUACAAAAGAAAUUUGCUCCCAUCCCAAAGAGACUCGGUGAAAAAAGAGAUAUUGUACCAACCUCCAAUUUUAGUGGAAAAUUAUUUUGUUGUGGCUCAGAACAUAUCUGACGAUACCCAACACUCCGCGGACAUUCAUUCAGACAUGCUCGCAGGAAUGGUGGUUCUAUUUAAGCAAUAUGGAAAUCUUUUUCGAGAUUGCGAUGCUCUUGAAGAGGGCGUACGCCAGCGUUUAUAUUUGAUACAGAAAAGAGAACACAGGUGCGAGUAUCUCAGUGGGAGGGACAUCGAAGCGUCAAGUGACGUCACACAACUCAUCGCCGUCAAACAUUUAGAGAGAGCAGCUUGUGCGUUUGCUGUGCUUUGCUUGGUAUCCAUGGGAGCCGGUCUUAUUACAGGUGCAUGUGGUCUGUUUGGUCACCAUACACGGAUCCUCGUGUGGGCAUCAUGUUGUUCGUUAAUUUCUGGUAUCUUACUAACUCUUGCUAUAGCACUUUUCCACGGGAAGUGUUACAUAUUACGUCGGACAGAACUAUUACACGGAUAUCGCAUCCCUCACAAGAAAAUUAUCAACGAAUCAAGGACGUACAGUUUUGGGUGGUCCUUUUACCUGGCCUGGAUUUGCGUUUUCCUAUGUUUUAUAUCCUCGUUUGUAUGGUUGUACAAAGCGCAAGAUCCAAAACAGACCCGAAUACCGGGAGUAAACUAUAUUCGACACAGGUACAGGAAAGGAAGAUACUCUUAUUUUGAUGAUUGAACAUUCAGGUACUUUGUACAAAAAACAAUUGAAUGAUAUUUCUUCUUUGUUAACUUUGAAAUACAAUUUAUUCUACAUUUUUAUAUAGAUUAGAUUUUUUUUUUACAUUUAGACAAUCAUAUGCCUUUACACCUUUGUUAACAUCAUGCAAUAAUUCAAAGAAAACACAAAGAAAUCAAAUAAUAAAAAUGUGAAUAAAGUUCAUACGAAUGAAGAAAAAAUCAAAAUAGAAACCAAAGAAAAUACGAAAGUAAGUAAUUCCAUAGAUUUGAUAACAUCGAUUCGACACAAUAUAUGCAUAGAUUAUAUGGAGUUCUGAUAAUACAUGUAUGCAUAAAAGGGUGUCCGAAAAUUGUACAUGAUAUGUUGCAAUAAUUGAUAUCUCUCGCUAUCUGUAACUAUUGAAUUAUUCUUUUGUCUUUUAAUCACCUUAUUUUUCUCUACAAUUACAUUUACUGCACGCAUUAUUUACUUUCCUGAAAUUCAAUUAUGUAUUCUUCGUAUACAUGCAAAUGAAAUAAAAAAACAUUC